rnacentral:rRNA from 1 species
UUUCCUACGGGGCGCAGCAGUGAGGAAUAUUGGUCAAUGGGAGAGAUCCUGAACCAGCCAAGCCGCGUGAGGGAAGACGGCCCUAUGGGUUGUAAACCUCUUUUGUCGGAGAACAAAACCCGGGACGAGUCCCGGACUGCGUGUAUCCGAAGAAAAAGCAUCGGCUAACUCCGUGCCAGCAGCCGCGGUGAUACGGAGGAUGCGAGCGUUAUCCGGAUUUAUUGGGUUUAAAGGGUGCGCAGGCGGCACGGCAAGCCGGCGGUCAAAUCGCGGGGCUCAACCCCGCCCAGCCGUCGGAACUGCCG